rnacentral:rRNA from 1 species
GGUUGACCUCGGAUCAGGUAGGAAUACCCGCUGAACUUAAGCAUAUCAAUAGCCGGAGGAAAAAGGAUCAUUACCGAG